GUAAUGGCUGAUGGCAGCUGGCAUCGUGCGAGCAAAGGUGCCCCUGAGCAGAUUUUGAACCUUUGCAAUUGCAAGGAUGAUGUUAGGAACAAGGUUCAUUCUGUGAUAGACAAGUUUGCUGAACGUGGGCUUUGAUCAUUGGCUGUUGCAAGACAGGAAGUGCCCGAGAGAACAAAGGAGAGUCUGGGAACACCAUGGCAAUUUGUUGGUCUAUUGCCUCUCUUUGAUCCCCCCAGGCAUGACAGUGCAGAAACCAUCCACAGGGCUCUCAACCUUGGUGUGAAUGUGAAUAUAUUGGCAGUGGCAGACGGGAACAACAAUGUGGAGUUGUGGAAGGUGGCGGUAGAUGGAGAGUGGCAGCAGGUGAUGAUAGUUGAACCCUAGAUCCAGGUUCUUGGGUUUCUCUCUCUGUUGCUGUCUUCGUGUUUUGUGGCUAUGACUGCAAUUUUUGUUUUUUUUUCUUAGUGAAUUUCUCAAUGUGUUUCUCCAUGAUUUGGUUUGGAUAUAUUUGGUUAAUAUUUGUUAGUUUGGACAAUUGAAUUUGUUGAAUUUAGGAUCAAAAGAAUUUACAGA